rnacentral:tRNA from 1 species
GUGCGCGUAAUUUAAACAAAAUAUCAAGCUGUGACCUUGAAUACAGAGAUACUCUCUCGCACACC